GCCAUGACAAGCAGCAUGUGAAGACUCCAGUAAGCCACCAGCCAUGUGGCAAGAGCGCUGUCACGCCCUGGGAUGUUAAUAGGAGGGCUCCCAUUUGACAAACUAACAGCUUAAAAAGCCACCAAACUCAAGUCAUCUUAGCGGAUAAGAGGCUUGUUUACCAGGAAUUCAGAGUGUUCUCAUUGGAGUUGCUAGCCAUUUUAGAGGGGAUGAUCUCAAGAAUGGAGGCUGUGUGUCCAUGCUGCUAGACCAGAAAGACAGGAGGAACCCGUGUUCUUCAUCACUGAGAGAAUGUCAGUCCAGC